rnacentral:rRNA from 1 species
UACGUAGGGGGCAAGCGUUGUCCGGAAUUAUUGGGCGUAAAGAGCGUGUAGGCGGCUCGAUAAGUCUGCUGUGAAAGUCCAGGGCUCAACCCUGGAAGGCCGGUGGAAACUGUCGGGCUAGAGUCCGGAAGAGGCGAGUGGAAUUCCUGGUGUAGCGGUGAAAUGCGCAGAUAUCAGGAGGAACACCAAUUGCGAAGGCAGCUCGCUGGGACGUUACUGACGCUGAGACGCGAAAGCGUGGGGAGCAAACAGG